rnacentral:tRNA from 1 species
CGUCGUCGGGCCGCGCAGGCCCACGGUACGGCCCGUGCGGUGGGCCAGGGAGGAGCCGCCCGGCGGCGGCCCGGUCGCGGCCGUCGACGCGGGC